rnacentral:misc_RNA from 1 species
CCUAGAGUUGUAGGCUUUGCCUGCUAUCUCUUACCCAUGUCUUUUGAGUACCUUCGUUUCCUCGGCGGGUCCGCCCGCCGAUUGGACAAUUUAAACCAUUUGCAGUAGCAAUCAGCGUCUGAAAAAACUUAAUAGUUA